rnacentral:rRNA from 1 species
UGCAAGUCAGGGGCAGCACGAUCUUCGGAUUGGUGGCGACCGGCGCACGGGUGCGUAACGCGUAUAGAACCUACCUUCUACAGAGGGAUAGCCCAGAGAAAUUUGGAUUAAUACCUCAUAGUAUUAUAGAUUGGCAUCGAUUUAUAAUUAAACAUUUAUGGGUAAGAGAUGGCUAUGCGUCCUAUUAGUUAGUUGGUAAGGUAACGGCUUACCAAGACAGCGAUAGGUAGGGUCCGUGGGAGGGACGACCCCCACACUGGUACUGAGACACGGACCAGACUCC